ACUAAUUACUAUUUACCUAUCUAUGCAUUUUUCUAACUUUUCUAUGAUUUGUACACAACGGUACACAACAAUAAUAAACCAUGUUCAGUUUUUUUAUUAACACAACACAAAAGUUCUUUCGUUUCGUAACUAAAACAAAACUACACUUUAUCAACGAAGGAUAAGGAACCAACUUAAAUUGAAAUUACUAAGAACAAAUCGUUAAAGGUAAUACAAUAAAAAAUAAAAACUGUAAACUAAUGGAAAUUUUUUUCACGAAACCUUAAUUCGCACACUUGAUCCAACGUUGCCAAGUCACUAAAAUCUCAAUAUUUGACAAUUGACAGAUUAUCUUUUAAAUAAAUAAAUAAAUGUAAAUAGUUAUCCUAACUGAACAAAACAAAGUCGGGAACAAUGGAUUAAUGGAUAUUAUGUAAAAGCCAUAAGGAGAACAGAACUAAAAUUAAAAUAUGAAAGAAUAUGCAAUAAACAUUGUAUAAAAGUGGAAAGCCAGCCACUUUAAAAAUAUAUUCCAAACUAAAACAUGGGUUACCAAAGCAGGCAAUAAAAAGAAAAGGUGAUCUAGAAUGCAAGAGAAGAGCUGAUGAAAGAAGUAAAUGUAAAGAAAAUAAUGAAGAGACUUCUCUGGACCAUGAACAAACACCAGCUAUUUUAUAUAUGUAGAAAAAGGAAAAACUGCUGGAACUUUAAUUUAAAGGCUUUUGACUAGUGAAGAUUUGGAUAAACAACAGGAGUUACUUUGGGCUAUAGCUACGUGCAAAUUUAUUUUCUUGUGGCUUCCUAUGUUUAUUCUUAUUAACUAUAUCUACACUUUGAUAUGUUUUUAGUCGCAUGAAGAUUUUAUAGUUUAUUAUUUUAUGUAUAUUGUUCUAUUUGUGUUGAAUAAACAUUAUUAUUAUUA